GUGCCAGCAGCCGCGGUAAUACGUAGGUGGCGAGCGUUGUCCGGAUUUAUUGGGCGUAAAGAGCGCGAAGGCGGUGCCUUAAGUUGGGCGUGAAAUCCCCUGGCUUAACUGGGGGAGGUCGUUCAAUACUGAGGUGCUUGAGGGUGGACGGGGAGAGCGGAAUUCCCGGUGUAGUGGUGAAAUGCGUAGAUAUCGGGAGGAACACCAGUGGCGAAGGCGGCUCUCUAGACCACUCCUGACGCUCAAGCGCGAAAGCGUGGGUAGCGAACGGAAUUAGAUACUCCGGUAGUCCACGCUGUAAACGAUGAGCACUAGGUGUAGUGGGUAUCGACCCCCACUGUGCCGCAGCUAACGCAAUAAGUGCUCCGCCUGGGGACUACGGCCGCAAGGUUAAA
rnacentral:rRNA from 1 species